rnacentral:misc_RNA from 1 species
UCCCGCUUAUCACGGGCAGUUUCCUUAGAGUUCCCAGCAUUACCUGAUGGCAACUAAGGACGAGGGUUGCGCUCGUUGCGGGACUUAACCCAACAUCUCACGACACGAGCUGACGACAGCCAUGCAGCACCUGUGUUCCUCCCACCCGAAGUGAAAGAGCUCAUCUCUGAGCCCUAUAGAGGACAUGUCAAGGCCUGGUAAGGUUCUUCGCGUUGCCUCGAAUUAAACCACAUGCUCCACCGCUUGUGCGGGUCCCCGUCAAUUUCUUUGAGUUUUAACCUUGCGGCCGUACUCCCCAGGCGGGAUGCUUAAUGCGUUAGCGACGUCACUGAGGGGGAACCCCCCAACAACUAGCAUCCAUCGUUUACAGCGUGGACUAC